rnacentral:rRNA from 1 species
CGAUGGGCCGACGUCGCAUGCUCCCGGCCGCCAUGGUUAGAGUUUGAUCCUGGCUCAGAUUGAACGCUGGCGGCAGGCCUAACACAUGCAAGUCGAGCGGUAGAGAGGUGCUUGCACCUCUUGAGAGCGGCGGACGGGUGAGUAAUGCCUAGGAAUCUGCCUGGUAGUGGGGGACAACGCUCGGAAACGGACGCUAAUACCGCAUACGUCCUACGGGAGAAAGCAGGGGACCUUCGGGCCUUGCGCUAUCAGAUGAGCCUAGGUCGGAUUAGCUAGUUGGUGGGGUAAUGGCUCACCAAGGCGACGAUCCGUAACUGGUCUGAGAGGAUGAUCAGUCACACUGGAACUGAGACACGGUCCAGACUCCUACGGGAGGCAGCAGUGGGGAAUAUUGGACAAUGGGCGAAAGCCUGAUCCAGCCAUGCCGCGUGUGUGAAGAAGGUCUUCGGAUUGUAAAGCACUUUAAGUUGGGAGGAAGGGCAUUAACCUAAUACGUUAGUGUUUUGACGUUACCGACAGAAUAAGCACCGGCUAACUCUGUGCCAGCAGCCGCGGUAAUACAGAGGGUGCAAGCGUUAAUCGGAAUUACUGGGCGUAAAGCGCGCGUAGGUGGUUCGUUAAGUUGGAUGUGAAAGCCCCGGGCUCAACCUGGGAACUGCAUUCAAAACUGUCGAGCUAGAGUAUGGUAGAGGGGGGGGGGGAAUUUCCUGUGUAGCGGUUGAAUGCGUUAAUUAAGGAAGGAACAC